GACGAACGCUGGCGGCGUGCUUAACACAUGCAAGUCGAACGGAAAGGCCCUGCUUUUGUGGGGUUCUCGAGUGGCGAACGGGUGAGUAACACGUGAGUAACCUGCCCUUGACUUUGGGGUAACUUCAGGAAACUGGAGCUAAUAUCGUAUAGGAGCUCCUGCUGCAUGGUGGGGGUGGGAAAGUUUCGGCGGUUGGGGAUGGAUGCGCGGCUUAUCAGCUUGUUGGUUGGGGAGUGGCUUACCAAGGCUUGGACGGGUAGCCGGCCUGAGAGGGUGACCGGCCACAUUGGGACUGAGAUACGGCCCAGACUCCUACGGGAGGCAGCAGUGGGGAAUAUUGCACAAUGGGCGGAAGCCUGAUGCAGCAGCGCCGCGUGCGGGAUGACGGCCUUCGGGUUGUAAACCGCUUUAGCCUGUGACGAAGCGUGAGUGACGGUAAUGGGUAAAGAAGCACCGGCUAACUACGUG
rnacentral:rRNA from 1 species